rnacentral:rRNA from 1 species
GACGGAGGAUGCAAGUGUUAUCCGGAAUCACUGGGCGUAAAGCGUCUGUAGGUGGUCAAAUAAGUCAACUGUUAAAUCUUGAGGCUCAACCUCAAAAUCGCAGUCGAAACUAUUCGACUAGAGUAUAGUAGGGGUAAAGGGAAUUUCCAGUGGAGCGGUGAAAUGCGUAGAGAUUGGAAAGAACACCGAUGGCGAAGGCGACGUGCUGGGUUGCACCUGACGCUGAGAUGCGAAAGUGUGGGGAGCAAACGGG